AUUGAACGCUGGCGGCAGGCCUAACACAUGCAAGUCGAGCGGUAGAGAGGUGCUUGCAUCUCUUGAGAGCGGCGGACGGGUGAGUAAUGCCUAGGAAUCUGCCUAGUGGUGGGGGAUAACGUUCGGAAACGGACGCUAAUACCGCAUACGUCCUACGGGAGAAAGCGGGGGAUCUUCGGACCUCGCGCCAUUAGAUGAGCCUAGGUCGGAUUAGCUAGUUGGUGAGGUAAUGGCUCACCAAGGCGACGAUCCGUAACUGGUCUGAGAGGAUGAUCAGUCACACUGGAACUGAGACACGGUCCAGACUCCUACGGGAGGCAGCAGUGGGGAAUAUUGGACAAUGGGCGGAAGCCUGAUCCAGCCAUGCCGCGUGUGUGAAGAAGGUCUUCGGAUUGUAAAGCACUUUAAGUUGGGAGGAAGGGUAGUAACCUAAUACGUUGCUACUUUGACGUUACCGACAGAAUAAGCACGGCUAACUUCGUGCCAGCA
rnacentral:rRNA from 1 species